GACGAACGCUGGCGGCGUGCCUAAUACAUGCAAGUAGAACGCUGAAGGAGGAGCUUGCUUCUCUGGAUGAGUUGCGAACGGGUGAGUAACGCGUAGGUAACCUGCCUGGUAGCGGGGGAUAACUAUUGGAAACGAUAGCUAAUACCGCAUAAUAGUAGAUGUUGCAUGACAUUUGCUUAAAAGGUGCAAUUGCAUCACUACCAGAUGGACCUGCGUUGUAUUAGCUAGUUGGUGAGGUAACGGCUCACCAAGGCAACGAUACAUAGCCGACCUGAGAGGGGGAUCGGCCACACUGGGACUGAGACACGGCCCAGACGCCUACGGGAGGCAGCAGUAGGGAAUCUUCGGCAAUGGACGGAAGUCUGACCGAGCAACGCCGCGUGAGUGAAGAAGGUUUUCGGAUCGUAAAGCUCUGUUGUAAGAGAAGAACGAGUGUGAGAGUGGAAAGUUCACACUGUGACGGUAUCUUACCAGAAAGGGACGGCUAACUACGUG
rnacentral:rRNA from 1 species